AUGAACGCUGGCGGCGUGCUUAACACAUGCAAGUCGAACGGGAAAUAUUUCAUUGAGACUUCGGUGGAUUUGAUCUAUUUCUAGUGGCGGACGGGUGAGUAACGCGUGGGUAACCUGCCUUAUACAGGGGGAUAACAGUCAGAAAUGGCUGCUAAUACCGCAUAAGCGCACAGAGCUGCAUGGCUCAGUGUGAAAAACUCCGGUGGUAUAAGAUGGACCCGCGUUGGAUUAGCUGGUUGGUGGGGUAACGGCCCACCAAGGCGACGAUCCAUAGCCGGCCUGAGAGGGUGAACGGCCACAUUGGGACUGAGACACGGCCCAGGCUCCUACGGGAGGCAGCAGUGGGGAAUAUUGCACAAUGGGGGAAACCCUGAUGCAGCGACGCCGCGUGAAGGAAGAAGUAUCUCGGUAUGUAAACUUCUAUCAGCAGGGAAGAUAGUGACGGUACCUGACUAAGAAGCCCCGGCUAACUACGUGCCAGCAGCCGCGGUAAUACGUAGGGGGCAAGCGUUAUCCGGAUUUACUGGGUGUAAAGGGAGCGUAGACGGUGUGGCAAGUCUGAUGUGAAAGGCAUGGGCUCAACCUGUGGACUGCAUUGGAAAC
rnacentral:rRNA from 1 species